GAAUAACAAGCAAAUACAGGUGCCCAAUUUUGCAGUCAAAAUUGGGUUAAAAGGGAAGCCAGGUGAAAGUCCUGCACGGUCCCGCCACUGUGAUGGUGAGCUCUUUACAUUAUGCCACUGUCCGGCACUCAGCGAAUACUUGGUGAAUGCCGGGUGGGAAGGCGUAAAGAGCGAUGAACCUAAGUCAGGAGACCUGCCUGUAUUUGUGUUACACU
rnacentral:ncRNA from 2 species